rnacentral:rRNA from 1 species
CAGCCGCCGCGGUAAUACGUAGGUGGCAAGCGUUGUCCGGAAUUAUUGGGCGUAAAGGGCUCGCAGGCGGUUUCUUAAGUCUGAUGUGAAAGCCCCCGGCUCAACCGGGGAGGGUCAUUGGAAACUGGGAAACUUGAGUGCAGAAGAGGAGAGUGGAAUUCCACGUGUAGCGGUGAAAUGCGUAGAGGUGUGGAGGAACACCAGUGGCGAAGGCGACUCUCUGGUCUGUAACUGACGCUGAGGAGCGAAAGCGUGGGGAGCGAACAGGAUUAGAUACCCGGGUAGUCCCUGUCUCUUAUAC